CACGUAGGGCGCGAGCGUUGUCCGGAAUUAUUGGGCGUAAAGAGCUCGUAGGCGGCCUGUUGCGUCCGCUGUGAAAGCCCGGGGCUUAACCCCGGGUCUGCAGUGGAUACGGGCAGGCUAGAGGUAGGUAGGGGAGAAUGGAAUUCCUGGUGUAGCGGUGGAAUGCGCAGAUAUCAGGAGGAACACCGAUGGCGAAGGCAGAUCUCUGGGCCGUAACUGACGCUGAGGAGCGAAAGCGUGGGGAGCGAACAGG
rnacentral:rRNA from 1 species